UACAGAGGGGGCGAGCGUUGUUCGGAAUUACUGGGCGUAAAGCGCACGUAGGCGGCUUAGCAAGUCGGAAGUGAAAUCCCUCGGCUCAACCAAGGAAGUGCUUUCGAAACUGCUGAGCUUGAGUACUUAAGAGGAUCGCGGAAUUCCCGGUGUAGAGGUGAAAUUCGUAGAUAUCGGGAGGAACACCAGUGGCGAAGGCGGCGAUCUGGGAAGAUACUGACGCUGAGGUGCGAAAGCGUGGGGAGCAAACAGG
rnacentral:rRNA from 1 species